rnacentral:rRNA from 1 species
AACGAACGCUGGCGGCAUGCCUAACACAUGCAAGUCGAACGAGAUCUUCGGGUCUAGUGGCGCACGGGUGCGUAACGCGUGGGAAUCUGCCCUUUGGUUCGGAAUAACAGUUGGAAACGACUGCUAAUACCGGAUGAUGACGAAAGUCCAAAGAUUUAUCGCCAGAGGAUUAGCCCGCGUAGGAUUAGCUGGUUGGUGUGGUAAAGGCGCACCAAGGCGACGAUCCUUAGCUGGUCUGAGAGGAUGAUCGGCCACACUGGUACUGAGACACGGCCCAGACUCCUACGGGAGGCAGCAGUGGGGAAUAUUGGACAAUGGGCGAAAGCCUGAUCCAGCAAUGCCGCGUGAGUGAUGAAGGCCUUAGGGUUGUAAGGCUCUUUUACCCGGGAUGAUAAUGACAGUACCGGGAGAAUAAGCUCCGGCUAACUCCGUGCCAGCCGCCGCGGUAA